rnacentral:rRNA from 1 species
UUAGAGUUUGAUCCUGGCUCAGGAUGAACGCUAGCGGCAGGCUUAACACAUGCAAGUCGAGGGGCAGCGAGAUCAGUGCUUGCACUGAUUGUCGGCGACCGGCGCACGGGUGCGUAACGCGUAUGCAACCUACCCAUUACAGGGGGAUAACACUGAGAAAUCGGUACUAAUACCCCAUAACAUCCAGGGAGGCAUCUUCUUGGGUUGAAAACUCCGGUGGUAAUGGAUGGGCAUGCGUUGUAUUAGUUAGUUGGUGGGGUAACGGCUCACCAAGACAACGAUACAUAGGGGGACUGAGAGGUUAACCCCCCACAUUGGUACUGAGACACGGACCAAACUCCUACGGGAGGCAGCAGUGAGGAAUAUUGGUCAAUGGACGCAAGUCUGAACCAGCCAUGCCGCGUGCAGGAAGACGGCUCUAUGAGUUGUAAACUGCUUUUGUACGAGGGUAAACGCAGAUACGCGUAUCUGUCUGAAAGUAUCGUACGAAUAAGGAUCGGCUAACUCCGUGCCAGCAGCCGCGGUAAUACGGAGGAUUCAAGCGUUAUCCGGAUUUAUUGGGUUUAAAGGGUGCGUAGGCGGUCGGAUAAGUUAGAGGUGAAAUCCCGGGGCUCAACUUCGGAAUUGCCUCUGAUACUGUUCGGCUAGAGAGUAGUUGCGGUAGGCGGAAUGUAUGGUGUAGCGGUGAAAUGCUUAGAGAUCAUACAGAACACCGAUUGCGAAGGCAGCUUACCAAGCUACUUCUGACGUUGAGGCACGAAAGCGUGGGGAGCAAACAGGAUUAGAUACCCUGGUAGUCCACGCAGUAGACGAUGAUAACUCGUUGUCGGCGAUACAGUGUCGGUGACUAAGCGAAAGCGAUAAGUUAUCCACCUGGGGAGUACGUUCGCAAGAAUGAAACUCAAAGGAAUUGACGGGGGCCCGCACAAGCGGAGGAACAUGUGGUUUAAUUCGAUGAUACGCGAGGAACCUUACCCGGGCUUGAAAGUUAGUGACGGAUCUUGAAAGAGGUCUUCCCUUCGGGGCACGAAACUAGGUGCUGCAUGGUUGUCGUCAGCUCGUGCCGUGAGGUGUCGGGUUAAGUCCCAUAACGAGCGCAACCCCUACCGUUAGUUGCCAGCAGGUCAAGCUGGGCACUCUGACGGGACUGCCGGUGUAAGCCGAGAGGAAGGUGGGGAUGACGUCAAAUCAGCACGGCCCUUACGUCCGGGGCUACACACGUGUUACAAUGGCAGGUACAGAGGGCAGCUACCCAGCGAUGGGAUGCGAAUCUCGAAAGCCUGUCUCAGUUCGGAUUGGAGGCUGAAACCCGCCUCCAUGAAGUUGGAUUCGCUAGUAAUCGCGCAUCAGCCAUGGCGCGGUGAAUACGUUCCCGGGCCUUGCACUCACCGCCCGUCAAG